AUAAUAAAUUCUUCAGUAAUUUCUGAAUUUACACCAAUAGAACUAUAGUAGUUAUGAAUAAACAAUGAUAAAAGGAUAUUUGAAAACCCCACAAAUAAGACAACCAAUGGACAUCUAGAGCACAAUGUAAUUGCUUUUUUUUUUUAUGUUUGACAAAAUAAUAAGGGUUGUAAAGUUUGAACAAAAAACAUAAACAGUAUACUUUGAAUAUGUGCCAACAUUGUGUUUCCCCUUUCUUGAUAAAUUCUGGCAUACAGGAACUUUUUGAGUACUCCCAAAAAUGAGUUAACAACCUGAUUGUAAUGCAGAUCAUGUGACAAUUUUUCUGCUUAGGUAGAAACCAUUUAACUUCAAGGGGGUAUUGUUAUUUGUCUCUGUCAGAAUUGUUUCCCCGCAAAGAGCAAAAUUCUUUUAAAAAAAAGUUUUUGAAGCUUUCAAUUUAAUUAAAUUUUCAAAUUUAACUAUAGUAUGAGGAAAAUCUGGAUUCAGAACGUUUUUUUUCGUCAUCUGCUUGACCACAAUAUUUUUUUUUUAUCAAAUUGGGUAUCAGAAUAUUUUGUUUAGGAAAAAAACAUAACUCCUCUUAUUUUUGAAAGUAAAAUGGUCUUUCCCUUCCUAGGGUCUGACAACAGUCUGGUUUCCUCUUUCUUUUGGGUUCCUCCAGUUUGAUUGUAAGGGUAAACAGUGACACCUUCAAAUAUGUGAGGCAGAAAUUUCAUUGGUGCAUCGAUAUUUACAAAACAGAUUGAUUGUGAUGUCAGAAGGGAAAUGCAUAAACAUGACCUGUAUUUAAUUAGACUAUAUAACUAGCCCAGCAGUGUCCAGCACUGAAGAAGAUGAAUCUUAAAAGGUAACCCCAUUUAAAUAAAUAACAAUAAUACACAAUAAAUAUUUAUCAUAUACACAUCAUUUAAAAAUACCAUUGAAUGUUCAUUACAAAAAUUACAAACAAAAUUACUACAUUACUGCAGUGUAUGUGAAUUUCACAAAUUCCCCUGGUCAAGGCACCCCUCCCUGAAGACAAAAAGUUGAUCUUAAAUUUUGGAGCAAAUCUUUACAUACAAAAGCUUAUAAUAUUUUUUUGAUGAUUUUUAACGUUUCAACUCUUAUGAUUGAUAAAAUAAAAGAGUUUUUUCCACUCUGUACUCAUUUGUCCCCCUCCCUUUUCACACAAUUUACAAAAUCAAUGUGAGCUGUCGUGUAGAUAAUAUCUCUCAGGGUAGAAAUGAAUGAGUUUCUAUUAUCCAAACAUUACAGAUAUUCGACAUCAAAGAAACACAGAAUGAUUUUCUAUUGUCAAAAUGAACCAACUGAGUCACCCACCACAUGAUAGAAAUCAAGCUUGAUAUAACCUCUGACAAAUAUCUGCAAUUCUUAUGUGACGUGCUUCUUUCGCUUUAUAAAUAAACCCAUGCUCUAAAUCCAAUAAAAGUUGUUUGCACAAGCGUAUAUAUUGAUUACUGCAGAAUAAUGAUUUUUUUUCAAAUUGGCAUGCAUUUAAAAUAUUUCAUGAACUUAAAACACUUCAAAACUCUUAAAUGAUGCACAUCUUGUUACUUAUUUAUUUAUCAUGACUGUAAUGUGUUGCAAUUCGAAAUUGACAAAUUUGACCUAGAUACGACAACUGUUCAUGAUGGCUGUUCAAAACUCAUCCCUAUGAAAAAUAGCAGGCAGUCGUUUGCUUGUUUACAAACAAAAAAGUGAGAUUCAUGGAAGAGCCUUCACAAACGGUCUACGCUUAUA
rnacentral:lncRNA from 1 species